rnacentral:rRNA from 1 species
UACGGGGGGGGCAAGCGUUGUUCGGAAUUACUGGGCGUAAAGGGCGCGUAGGCGGCUUUUCAAGUCGGGCGUGAAAUCUCCGGGCUUAACCCGGAAGGGUCGUUCGAUACUGUUGAGCUAGAGUGUGGAAGAGGCAACUAGAAUUCCGUGUGUAGCGGUGAAAUGCGUAGAUAUACGGAGGAAUACCUGAGGCGAAGGCGGGUUGCUGGGCCAACACUGACGCUGAGGCGCGAAAGCCAGGGGAGCGAACAGG